CGUCACCCCCACCAGCAGGUGCAGAGGUGCCGUUGCAGCAGUUGGACAUGAGGACAAGAAGCAGAAGCUAAGGGAGGGGGUCUGGGGCAUCCCUGGAGCUCAGAAGCCAAGGCCCGUGCCUGCCCCAGGGCUGGUGCCACACAUAGUUCCAGGCACUGGGGACGGAGGGCAGCCGAUGGGGCCCGGAGCAGGAUGUGCCUCUUCUGGACUUGACCACAGAACCCAAGCAUGGAGUCACAGAUGGACUCUGAGAGAGAAAAUAGCACCCCUGUCCAAACGUCACAUGCCUGGCGGAGGAACGCAGCCUGGCCUGUGCAGCCGAAUGUUGGAGAGUGCACCUUCCUCUCUUACUUUGUUUUAUUUCCAGGGAAAGGGAAAGGAAGACAUGCAAGUAAUUUAUCAACUAAAUUACAGGCUGACUGAUAAUAAAGCUCCCCACCCCA
rnacentral:lncRNA from 1 species